rnacentral:lncRNA from 13 species
AUGUUGUCAUACAGCCAUGUUAUGGAGACGUGGAAUCCUGUCAUACAGCCCUGUGGCCUUGUUGUCAUACAGCCACGUGGCCAUGUUGUCAUACAGCCGUGUGGUCAUGGAGACGUGGAAUCCUGUCAUACAGCUAAGUGGCCAUGUUGUCAUACAGCCAUGUGGUCAUGGAGACGUGGAAUCCUGUCAUACAGCCCUGUGGCCUUGUUGUCAUACAGCCACGUGGCCAUGUUGUCAUACAGCCGUGUGGUCAUGGAGACGUGGAAUCCUGUCAGACAGCCCUGUGGCCUUGUUGUCAUACAGUCAGUUGUCAUCUCAUCCUAGGGCCAUGAUUUCCCACAGUGACGUCGCGUUAUCACACUGUCGCAUGGCCAUGUAGGCAUGCUGCAUAUUCUUGCAUCAUGUUGUCUCAGGGUCACGUGUCCUAUAGCCACGUCACAUUAUUAUGUGGUCAUGCUGUCGUGUUGUCACAUGGGCCUGUUGUGUUGUCUCACAGUCAUGGGGUCACAGUCAAAUUCUUACUGUCCCACUGUUGUGUUUUCACCUGGGCGUGUUGUAUUGUCUCAGUCAUGCUGUUACACUGUCAUGUUGUCACGUGGCCUGUUGUGUUAUCACAGUCAUGGUGUCCUGUGUCAUGGGGCCACAGUCACAUCCUCACACUGUCACACUGUCGUGUUGUCACGUGGCCUGUUGUGUUAUCACAGUCAUGGUGUCCUGUGUCAUGGGGCCACAGUCACAUCCUCACACUGUCACACUGUCGUGUUGUCACGUGGCCUGUUGUGUUCUCACAGUCAUGCUGUCCUGGGUCAUGGGGCCACAGUCACAUCCUCACACUGUCAUGUCACGUGGGCCUGUUGUGUUCUCACACUCAUGGUGUCCUGGGUCAUGGGGCCACAGUCACAUCCUCACACUGUCAUGUCACGUGGGCCUGUUGUGUUCUCACACUCAUGGUGUCCUGGGUCAUGGGGCCACAGUCACAUCCUCACACUGUUACACUGUCGUGUUGUCACGUGGCCUGUUGUGUUCUCACAGUCAUGCUGUCCUGGGUCAUGGGGCCACAGUCACAUCCUCACACUGUCAUGUCACGUGGCCUGUUGUGUUCUCACAGUCAUGGUUUCCUGUGUCAUGGUGUCACAGUCACAUCCUCACACUGUCACACUGUCGUGUU